rnacentral:rRNA from 1 species
UGGGGAAUAUUGGACAAUGGGCGCAAGCCUGAUCCAGCCAUACCGCGUGGGUGAAGAAGGCCUUCGGGUUGUAAAGCCCUUUUGUUGGGAAAGAAAUCCUGUUGAUUAAUACUCGGCAGGGAUGACGGUACCCAAAGAAUAAGCACCGGCUAACUUCGUGCCAGCAGCCGCGGUAAUACGAAGGGUGCAAGCGUUACUCGGAAUUACUGGGCGUAAAGCGUGCGUAGGUGGUGGUUUAAGUCUGUUGUGAAAGCCCUGGGCUCAACCUGGGAAUUGCAGUGGAUACUGGAUCACUAGAGUGUGGUAGAGGGAUGCGGAAUUUCCGGUGUAGCAGUGAAAUGCGUAGAGAUCGGAAGGAACAUCUGUGGCGAAGGCGGCAUCCUGGGCCAACACUGACACUGAGGCACGAAAGCGUGGGGAGCAAACAG